rnacentral:rRNA from 1 species
CUCGUGGGGAAUCUACCUUUUGCUACGGAAUAACGCAGGGAAACUUGUGCUAAUACCGUAUGUGCCCUUCGGGGGAAAGAUUUAUCGGCAAAGGAUGAGCCCGCGUUGGAUUAGCUAGUUGGUGGGGUAAAGGCCUACCAAGGCUACGAUCCAUAGCUGGUCUGACAGGAUGAUCAGCCACAUUGGGACUGAGACACGGCCCACACUCCUGCGGGAGGCGACAUUGGGGAAUAUUGGACAAUGGGCGCAAUCCUGAUCCAGCCAUGCCGCGUGAGUGAUGAAUGCCUUAUGGUUGUAAAGGUCUUUCGCCGGUGAAGAUAAUGACGGUAACCGGACAACAAGCCCCGGCUAACUUCGAGCCAGCAGCCGCGGCAAUACGAACGGGGCUAGCGUUGUUCCGAUUUACUGGGCGUAAAGCGCACAUAUGCGGAUCUAUCAAUGAUGGGUGAAAUCCCAGGGCUCAACCCUGGAACUGCCUUUGAUACUGUCGAUCUGGAGUAUGGAAUAGGUGAGUGGAAUUCCGACUGUACACGUGAAAUUCAUAGAUAUUCGGAGGAACACCACUGGCGAACGCGGUUCACUGGUCCUUACUGACGCUGAGGUGCGAAAGCGUGGGGAGCGNCAUGAUUACAUACCCUGGCACUCCACUCCGUAAACUAUGAAUGUUAGCCGUCNGGCAGUAUACUGUUCGGCGGCGCAGCUAACGCAUUAAUCAUUCACUCUGGCGAGUACNGUCGCAAUANNAAAACUCACAGGAAUUGACNNGGGCCCGCACANNCGGGGAGCAUGGGGUUAAUUCCAAGCAUCGCGCNNAACCUUACCAGCCUUGACAUCCUACGANNGCUGCNNAGAUGCANUAUCACUUCAGUGNCGUACAGANAGGUGCUGCAUGGNUGUCGACAUAUCCGUCGNNNNNUNGUUNGGUUACGNCCUNAUCUACCCCAGCCNNGACCUANUAGCCNUAUUCUUGGCNNUNUACGGANUGUCGU